GCGGGUGCUAUGCAUGCAAGUCGAGCGACGCAUGCCCAGUUCGUAAGAACAGGGUAUGACGGAGCGGCGAACGGGUGAGUAACACGUGAGCAACCUGCCCCACAGACCGGGAUAGCCCAAGGAAACUUGGAUUAAUACCGGAUUCCCUCGAACAAUCGCAUGGUUGAUCGAGGAAAGGCCUUUGUGCUGUGGGAUGGGCUCGCGGCUUAUCAGCUAGUUGGUGGGGUAAAGGCCUACCAAGGCAUCGACGAGUAGCUGGUCUGAGAGGACGAUCAGCCACACUGGAACUGAGACACGGUCCAGACUCCUACGGGAGGCAGCAGCAGGGAAUCUUGCGCAAUGGGCGAAAGCCUGACGCAGCAACGCCGCGUGGGGGAUGAAGGCCUUCGGGUUGUAAACCCCUUUCAGGAGGGAAGAAAUUGACGGUACCUCCAGAAGAAGGACCGGCCAACUACGUGCCAGCAGCCGCGGUAAUACGUAGGGUCCUAGCGUUAUCCGGAAUCAUUGGGCGUAAAGAGCUCGUAGGCGGUUCAGCAAGUCGGCUGUGAAAGUCCGAGGCUUAACCUCGGAAUUGCAGUCGAUACUGCUGUGACUCGAGUCCGGUAGAGGAGAAUGGAAUUCUCGGUGUAGCGGUGAAAUGCGCAGAUAUCGAGAGGAACACCAGUAGCGAAGGCGGUUCUCUGGGCCGGCACUGACGCUGAGGAGCGAAAGCGUGGGGAGCAAACAGGAUUAGAUACCCUGGUAGUCCACGCCGUAACGUUGGAUACUAAGGUGGUGGCGGUUGUACCAACGACUGCCGUGCCGAAGCUAACGCAUUAAGUAUCCCGCCCUGGGGAGUACGACGCAUGCUAAACUCAAAGGAUUGACGGGUCCCCGCCACAAGCGGCGGAGCAUGCGGGCCUUAAUUUCGA
rnacentral:rRNA from 1 species